CGCUAAGAAGCUAAGCCGGACUAAAAGCGUCAGCCUUUUAAGCUGAAGAUUGGUGCCUUCCAAACACCCCUAGCGA
rnacentral:tRNA from 1 species